AGAAUCAAAUCGAGUUUUCCAUCCCUAGAUGCUUUUUAUACGACCGUUUUUCAAUCAACUAAGACCGGUAGCUUUGUAUCCCUUGCAAUUAUUUUAGUACAAAAUAUAGUUCAUAUUUCUUUUGAUAUAUGUAUUAGUUCACUUUAAAGAUGGAUUUAGAAUUACCUUACAAAAGUGAAUACGCCAAAAGUGGUAGAGCCUCUUGUAAAAUGUGUAAAUGCCCAAUCGCUCAAGGCUGUCUUCGAUUAGCGGCAAUGGUCCAGUCCGCUUUUCAUGAUGGAAAACUGCCGCUGUGGUUUCAUGAAGGUUGUUUUUUU